rnacentral:rRNA from 1 species
AACGAACGCUGGCGGCAGGCUUAACACAUGCAAGUCGAACGGGUGUAGCAAUACAUCAGUGGCAGACGGGUGAGUAACACGUGGGAACCUUCCUCGGGGUACGGAACAACUCAGGGAAACUUGAGCUAAUACCGUAUACGUCCGUGAGGAGAAAGAUUUAUCGCCCUGAGACGGGCCCGCGUCGGAUUAGCUAGUUGGUGGGGUAACGGCCUACCAAGGCGACGAUCCGUAGCUGAUCUUAGAGGAUGAUCAGCCACACUGGGACUGAGACACGGCCCAGACUCCUACGGGAGGCAGCAGUGGGGAAUCUUGGACAAUGGGCGCAAGCCUGAUCCAGCCAUGCCGCGUGAGUGAAGAAGGUCUUCGGAUUGUAAAGCUCUUUUGCCAGGGACGAUAAUGACGGUACCUGGAGAAUAAGCCCCGGCAAACUUCGUGCCAGCAGCCGCGGUAACAC